rnacentral:rRNA from 1 species
UACGGGGGGGGCAAGCGUUGUUCGGAAUUACUGGGCGUAAAGGGCUCGUAGGCGGCCAACUAAGUCAGACGUGAAAUCCCCAGGCUCAACCUGGGAACUGCGUCUGAUACUGGAUGGCUUGAAUCCGGGAGAGGGAUGCAGAAUUCCAGGUGUAGCGGUGAAAUGCGUAGAUAUCGGGAGGAACACCGGUGGCGAAGGCGGCCUUCUGGACGGAUACUGACGCUGAUACGCGAAAGCGUGGGGAGCAAACAGG